rfam:Aspergillus glaucus CBS 516.65 unplaced genomic scaffold ASPGLscaffold_6, whole genome shotgun sequence.
CGGGCUGUAGCUCAACGGAGAGCGCUUGCGUCUAGAGGCCCACGAGGCCCGGGUUCGACUCCCGGCUGCCCGU